GCCGGAGUGGUGGAAUAGGUAGACACCAGGGACUUAAAAUCCCUUGGGUCGUAAGGCCCGUGCCGGUUCAAGUCCGGCCUCCGGCA
rnacentral:tRNA from 1 species